rnacentral:rRNA from 1 species
GAAGGUCCGGGCGUUAUCCGGAUUUACUGGGUGUAAAGGGAGCGUAGACGGCUCUGUAAGUCUGGAGUGAAAGCCCGGGGCCCAACCCCGGGACUGCUCUGGAAACUGUGGAGCUGGAGUACAGGAGGGGCAGGCGGAAUUCCUGGUGUAGCGGUGAAAUGCGUAGAUAUCAGGAGGAACACCGGCGGCGAAGGCGGCCUGCUGGACUGCAACUGACGUUGAGGCUCGAAAGCGUGGGGAGCAAA